AGUGACAUUAUUUUCGCUUACAAUGAAAAAGACCGUUAGGCACUUUUAUUUUGUUAGAUAUAUACAUUU
rnacentral:tRNA from 1 species